UACCUGGUUGAUUCUGCCAG
rnacentral:rRNA from 2 species